AGAAAUCUCAAAGGAUUAUGAAAGUGCGUAUGAGUUGAUAGAAAGAUCUUCCAUACACAUUGAUGAUAUAUAUAUUGUUGCUCAAGGAAUCAUAGAGCACGAUGAUAUCGAACCACGCUCUGUUGCAAAUGUCAACAAAGAGCAGAUUGGCCUAAAUGGAAAGAAGCAAUCCAGGAAGAAUUAGAUUCUCUGACAAAGAAACAGGUAUUUGGUCAGGUAGUGCUAACCCCACCAAGUGUAAAGCCUGUAGAACAUAAAUGGACCUUUGUCAGAAAGCGUAAUGAGAAGAAUGAAGUCCUGAGGUACAAGGCUCGCCUUGUGGCGCAAGGUUUCUCACAACGCCCUGGAAUUGACUACGAGGAGACAUUCUCUCCCAAAAUGGACAUUAUAACGUUCCUCUACUUAGUUAGCUUAGUAGUUUCUAAAGGACUGGAAAUGCAGCUCAUAGAUAUGGUUACUGCAUAUCUCCAUGGGGAUCUAGAUUCAGAUAUAUAUAUAUAUAUAUAUAUAUAUAUAUAUAUAUAUGAAAGUGCCUGAUGGCCUUACAUUACCCAAGUCAAGUGACUCUAAACCACGGAGUGUGUUUGCAACUAGAUCGAAACGCUCACUUUACGGAUUAAAACAAUCCAGGCGGAUGUGGUAUACCCGUCUAAGUGACUACUUGAUUGGGAAGGGAUAUAAGAACGAUGAAUUAUGCCCCUGCGUAUUCAUAAAGAAAACAAGUUCCGGAUUUACAAUUGUAGCAGUAUAUGUCGAUGAUAUGAACAUAACAUGUACUCUUGAUGAAAUAAGAGAAACCGCAAGCUACUUGAAAUCUGAAUUUGAGAUGAAGGAUCUUGGGAAAACUCGAUUCUGUCUAGGCCUUGAACUAGAACACCGAGUUUGUGGAAUACUAAUCCACCAGUCUAUGUAUGUCCAAAAGAUGCUCAGGCGAUUUAACAUGGGCAAAGCGCAUCCUGCUAGCACUCCUAUGAUCGUUCGAAGUUUGGAUGCAAGGAAAGAUCCAUUUCGUCCAAAGGAAGAUGACGAAGAGGUGUUGGGAGCUGAAAUUCCCUAUCUAAGUGCAAUAGGCGCAUUAUUGUACUUAGCCCAAUUUACUCGACCAGACAUUGCAUUCUCAGUGAACUUGUUAGCUAGAUUUAGCUCAGCGCCAACACAGCGUCACUGGAAUGGUAUCAAGAACAUUUUCGAUACCUAAAAGGAACCAUUGACUUGGGAUUGUUAUUUCCCUAUAGAGAGACAAGAGGGACCGCAUAUGGAACUGCAAUCCCUAAAGGAAAUGUUGAUGGCGAAAGCGCCACUCACUAUACUGAAACACCAAAUGACGUUUUGGUUGGUUUUGCUGAUACUGGGUACCUCUCUGACCCACAUAAAGGUCGUUCUCAAAAUAGUUAGGUAUUCACCAUUGGGAACACGGCGAUAUCUUGGAGAUCAACCAAGUAAACCCUUGUGGCUACCUCCUCGAACCACUCAGAGAUCAUCGCUCUACAUGAGGCGGUUCGUGAGUGUGUAUGGUUAAGAGCUAUCAUCACACAUAUUCGAGGGACUAGUGGUUUAAGUUCUACCACUGAAGAGCCUACUUGUAUUUAUGAAGAUAAUGCAGCUUGCAUCGAACAGAUCAAGCUAGAAUAUAUCAAGGGUGAUAAUACAAAACACAUAUCGCCAAAGUUUUUCUACAAUCAGCAACAACAAGGCCUCCUCAAGAUUCAAGUGAAUCAAGUAAGGUAUGAGGAGAAUGUGACAGAUUUGUUCACCAAAUCAUUGCCUAAGGCCAUAUUUGAGAAACAUGUAAAAAGCAUAGGAAUGCGAAGACUUUCCAAGCUCCCCUGAUUAAUGUAAGUAUCAGGGGGAGGUGUAGACGUCAGGGGGAGUCUAACACACACAUGUCAUACUCAAAUGUAAAAGGUGAGUUGUGCUCUUUUCCUUCGACCAAGGUGUAUUUUUCUCCCACAGGAUUUUUAUUGUUACUUGGCAAGGUUUUUAGUGAGGCAACAACUCAUGCACCAUUUCGUCUUUGACUUGGCACAAGGGGGAGUGUUAAAGGAAAAACACAUUAUGUGCCUUCGAAAAAAAAACAGACGAAGAGGGAAUCAAGCAAUUACAAAUCACAACUCAAUCAGCAUUUAGUAUCAUCAAUGUAAUUGAUAUUUCCGUUGUAAUCCUAUCCCUAUAUAAAGGGGUUAUGAAUGAAAUGAGUAGACCAAUUCCAAUCCAUUUUUACUUUAACAUUAAAUACAUAAUACCAAAAAUCAUAGCUUUUCUGGAAAUGAAUGGAGAUGUGAUAUUAGGUAACAACUUCACUUUUGCCUACUAUCUUAUUCUUCUAGACAUAGGGUACAUAUCUGGCCCUUGAGUGCAAAGGCAGAAGGGAGCUUGACUGCAAGACCCACCCGUCGAGCAGGGACUAAAGUCGGCCUUAGUGAUCCGACAGUGCCGAGUGGAAGGGCCAUCGCUCAACGGAUAAAAGUUACUCUAGGGAUAACAGGCUGGUCUUCCCCAAGAGUUCACAUCAACGGGAAGGUUUGGCACCUCGAUGUUGGCUCUUCGCCACUUGGGGUUGUAGUAUGUUCCAAGGGUUGUGAUGUUAGCCCAUUAAAGCGGUAUGUGAACUGGUUUCAGAACGUCGUGAGACAAUUCGGUCCAUAUCCGACAUGGGUGUUAGAGCAUUGAGAGGACCUUUCCCUAGUACUAGAGGACCGAGAAGGAUGCACCUCUGGUGUACCAGUUAUCGUGCCCACAGUAAAUGCUGGGUAGCCAAGUGGGAGCGAAUAACUGAUGAAAGCAUCUAAGUAGUAAGCCCAUCCCAAGAUGAAUGCUCUCCUAUUCCGACUUCCCCAAAGCCUUCGGUAGCACAGCCAAGACAGCGAUGGGUUUUCUGCCCCUGCGGGGGUGGAGUGACAGAAGUUUUGAGAAUUCAAGAGAAGAUCACGGCAAGACGAGCAAUUUAUCAUUACGAUAGGUGUCAAGUGGAAGUGCAGUGAUGUAUGCAGUUGAGGCAUCCUAACAGAUCGGUAGACUUGAAC
rnacentral:rRNA from 1 species